rnacentral:misc_RNA from 1 species
GCUACUACCGAUUGAAUGGUUUAGCGAGAUGCUCGGAUCGGGCCCAGCUCGUGCGAAAGCAUGCGCCGGGGCUGAGAAGAAGUUCAAGCUUGAUCAUUUAGAGGAAGUAAAAGUCGUAACAAGGUUUUCGUAGGUGAACCUGCAGAAGGAUCACGAUCGGAAGAGCACACGCCUCAACUCCCGUCACGCGGCCCUAUCUCGCAUACCGCCUUUUGCUCGUAAAAAAAAACACAUACACGAUUCCCACCCACCAUUAGACUAUCAUGUCACUUCCAA